UACGUAGGGUGCAAGCGUUGUCCGGAAUUAUUGGGCGUAAAGAGCUUGUAGGCGGUUUGUCGCGUCUGCUGUGAAAUUUCGGGGCUCAACCCCGAACUUGCAGUGGGUACGGGCAGACUAGAGUGUGGUAGGGGAGACUGGAAUUCCUGGUGUAGCGGUGAAAUGCGCAGAUAUCAGGAGGAACACCGAUGGCGAAGGCAGGUCUCUGGGCCAUAACUGACUCUGAGAAGCGAAAGCAUGGGGAGCGAACAGG
rnacentral:rRNA from 1 species